AAAUGGACCGACAAUUAAUCCACUGGAAUCUUCGGUAUGUCUCAUGCAAUGAGAAAAAGACAGGACAAAGACUCGGAGAGACGAAGAGACAUCAGUCUAAACGGCCGUUACGAUCUAGCCACGUGUCAUACAAGUACAAAAACUUGAGCCUGCAUGAAUCUUAGUUAGUCGUAUAUAGUAGACUGCGAGUGGACGGUGGUUCUUUAGCUUUUUACAGGUUUGUUGACUCUGGUCAACUGCUUCUCGUGUAUGAACUCGUUCGUACGUGUCUCCUUGCAUUCUAUCUCU